rnacentral:tRNA from 1 species
CGGGGAUUAGCGUAGUUGGCUAGCGCGCCUGCUUUGGGAGCAGGAGGUCGGCAGUUCGAGUCUGCCAUCCCCGACCA